rnacentral:rRNA from 1 species
AUACGGAGGGUGCAAGCGUUAUUCGGAAUCACUGGGCGUAAAGGACGCGUAGGCGGGUUGGCAAGUCAGAUGUGAAAUCCUACAGCUUAACUGUAGAACUGCAUUUGAAACUGCUAACCUAGAGUAUGGGAGGGGGAGAUGGAAUUAGUGGUGUAGGGGUAAAAUCCGUAGAUAUCACUAGGAAUACCGAAAGCGAAGGCGAUCUCCUGAAACAUAACUGACGCUAAGGCGUGAAAGCGUGGGUAGCAAACAGGAUUAGAAACCCUAGUAGUCC